GAUGAACGCUGGCGGCGUGCCUAAUACAUGCAAGUCGAGCGAACGGACGAGAAGCUUGCUUCUCUGAUGUUAGCGGCGGACGGGUGAGUAACACGUGGAUAACCUACCUAUCAUACUGGGAUAACUUCGGGACACCGGCGCUAAUACCGGAUGAUAUUUUGAACCGCAUGGUUCAAUAGUGAGAGACGGUCUUGCUGUCACUUAUAGAUGGAUCCGCGCUGCAUUAGAUAGUUGUUAAGGUUACGGGCUACCAAGGCUACGAGGCAUAGCCGAGCGGAGUGGCGGAUAGCCGACACUGGAGCGGGGACGGCGUCAUGGCUCCUAAGAGAGGCAGCAGUCGGGAAUCGUAGGCAGUAGGCGAGAGCAUGACGGAGCGACGGCGCGUGAGUGAUGAAGGUCUUCGGAUCGUAAAGCUCUGUUAUUAGGGAAAAACAGAUGUGUCAGGAGCUGAAGACAGCGUGACGGUAAUGAAUCAGAAAGCAACGGCUAACUACGUG
rnacentral:rRNA from 1 species